AAGAGACAUACAGAGAGGGUGAGACAUGAGAGGGUGGCGGGGGUUGGGGAGAGACAGAUCCGGAGGGAGAGGGUAGACAGAGAGGGUGAGAUAUGGGGGGGAAGGGGGCGAAAUAGGGAGAGGUUAAGAGAGACGGGUAGCGAGAGACAGACAAAGUCCAGAGAGACAGAAAGGCACAGAAGACAGGAUUCAGCGAGGUUUUAAACGCGAGAGUUGUCAAAGCCAGAGUGUACAGCAAUCAUCUGCCAACAGAUCCGUCGUCACUGGGAUUCCCUCGGUAAAACCCGGCUCUUCUCCUCGGGAAAGACGCCAGCAACAUUCGGUGUGAAGCCAUCAGGCGCCCGCGGAACCAAAAGGCCGGUCGGACACGCUCAGAGGUCUGGGCGCUCAGUGGGUCACACUGAAACGCCACAGAACCUCUGGAACACACAGACCAUAAUACACACCGUUCUUCCCCCCAGUACGUCGAGUACAACAGUAGCGGCCUUAUCUGGGGAUGACCCAGUGUGGGUUUGAAAUGUGUAGUAUAAACACAGUGUGUUUGUAGUACCCAAACACGCUUGUUUUUUUUCCUUGUGAAGAUAAGAUGUUGCAGUCCAAGGAAUGCGAGGAAGUCGCACACCCUUACGAGGAAUGUGUGUGUGUGUGUGUGUGUGUGUGUGUGUGUGUGUGUGUGUGUGUGUGUGUGCGUGUGUGAGAGGGACCAAAACUCAAACGCGUAUUUUUGUUCGAAUGGCAAUAUAUGAUAUUGUAGCGAUAUUUUCAACAAAACGGGUAAAGUGUGUCAUUUUAACUCCACGCCACACGUAUUCACCAUCAAACUUUUUUUUUUUUUUUUUUUUUUUUGCUCAACGAAGCACAGCUGUGCUUUAACAACAGAUAUGUAAGGGAUAAUAUAUAGAACGCUGGUCAUCAUCAGGAAGAAAAGCCUCUGGGUUGGGGUGCGGAUUCAGGCAACCCAACCUGGAGGCCUCCUUGAGCAAGAUAAGCCCAACCUCUUCCUUAAUUCACUGUGAAUUGCUUUGUAUAAAAGCGUCUGCUAUUUAACAAUUAUUCGCCGGGGGCAAGUGAACAGUGGGGAAUUCCCCACUAUUCACGGAGCCUGAGGUGAAUAAUUGUUUAAGUUUUACUACGUUUAUACUACACGUGAACACUCCAAAAAUAAACAGGAUAACACUUAGCCAGGAUUAUUUGUUUUUAUUAGCGGUUUAUUUGUUUUUACAAGCGUCACGCGCAUGAAAAC
ensembl:lncRNA